GCGCGCGGGCCGCCUUGAUUACAAUUUCCACCGGGCGGCGGACUGAAUCCUUUGCAGACGACUUAAAUACGCGACGGGGUAUUGUAAGUGGCAGAGUGGCCUUGCUGCCACGAUCCACUGAGAUUCAGCCCUUCGUCGCUCCGAUUCGU
rnacentral:ncRNA from 1 species